AGUGAACGCUGGCGGUAGGCCUAACACAUGCAAGUCGAACGGCAGCACAGUAAGAGCUUGCUCUUACGGGUGGCGAGUGGCGGACGGGUGCGGGAUACAUCUGAAUCUACUUUUUCGUGGGGGCUAACGUAGGGAAACUUACGCUAAUACCGCAUACGACCUACGGGUGAAAGCAGGGGAUCUUCGGACCUUGCGCGAUUGAAUGAGCCGAUGUCGGAUUAGCUAGUUGGCGGGGUAAAGGCCCACCAAGGCGACGAUCCGUAGCUGGUCUGAGAGGAUGAUCAGCCACACUGGAACUGAGACACGGUCCAGACUCCUACGGGAGGCAGCAGUGGGGAAUAUUGGACAAUGGGCGCAAGCCUGAUCCAGCCAUACCGCGUGGGUGAAGAAGGCCUUCGGGUCGUAAAGCCCUUUUGUUGGGAAAGAAAAGCAGCAGGUUAAUACCCCGCUGUUCUGACGGUACCCAAAGAAUAAGCACCGGCUAACUUCGUG
rnacentral:rRNA from 1 species